rnacentral:rRNA from 1 species
AGUGAACGCUGGCGGUAGGCCUAACACAUGCAAGUCGAACGGCAGCACAGUAAGAGCUUGCUCUUACGGGUGGCGAGUGGCGGACGGGUGAGGAAUACAUCGGAAUCUACUUUUUCGUGGGGGAUAACGUAGGGUAACUUACGCUAAUACCGCAUACGACCUACGGGUGAAAGCAGGGGAUCUUCGGACCUUGCGCGAUUGAAUGAGCCGAUGUCGGAUUAGCUAGUUGGCGGGGUAAAGGCCCACCAAGGCGACGAUCCGUAGCUGGUCUGAGAGGAUGAUCAGCCACACUGGAACUGAGACACGGUCCAGACUCCUACGGGAGGCAGCAGUGGGGAAUAUUGGACAAUGGGCGCAAGCCUGAUCCAGCCAUACCGCGUGGGUGAAGAAGGCCUUCGGGUUGUAAAGCCCUUUCGUUGGGAAAGAAAAGCAGCAGGUUAAUACCCCGCUGUUCUGACGGUACCCAAAGAAUAAGCACCGGCUAACUUCGUG